AACGGGGGGAGCGAGCGUUACUCAGCAUUAUUGGGCGUAAAGGGCAAGUAGACGGUCUUGUAGAGUUAAAAAUAAAAGGUCAGGUGUCAAACUUGUAACUAUUUUUAAAACGCAAGCACUAGAGUUUAACAAGGGAUAACAGUACCCCGAAUGGAGAGGUGAAAUUCAUAGAGAUUGUGGGGGACUACCGAGUGGUGAAGACGGUUAUCUAGGUUAUAACUGACGUUGAAGGGCGAAGGCUUAGGGAGCAAACAGG
rnacentral:rRNA from 1 species